AUCCAGCUGACCAGUCCCAAAUAGGACGAAGUGACGCGCCUUCUGGAU
rnacentral:hammerhead_ribozyme from 1 species